GCGGGCUAAGGAAAAGUGCUGUGAGGGCAGGGGGCGUUGGUGGUAGUGGUGGUGACGCUGGGGAGGCAGGGAUUGGUGUUACAUUGCUUUGGUGGGCACUGGUCAGUCUUGCCACACACUCUCCUGAUAGUGUUCAGUGUUUGCAUAUUCCCGGCAGCUUCUUCCUCCAUCAAGCAGCACCAGAGAGACACAGCUACUUAAGGUCACUGCGAGAUCUGCUGGAGUACGAGGGAGGUGAUGAGGAGGAAGUUUAUGGCCUCGACUUCACUUUGACCCAGGAUUACUUUGGGGAGUGCUAGAGUGUCCCCCUGAAGGCUGGAGGGGAGGAGAUGUCAGUCACACAGUAGAACAAUGUUGCCACAGUGACGGUGGUGGUGGGCAUGAUACAGAUGCGGGAGCUGGAGUUUGUGCCCGAUGGAGACAUGCACCUGGACAAAUUCUGUUGCUCAUUGCUCAGACUGGAGUUUACAUGUAUACCUCCUUCACCAUCAUUGGUGGACACUUGACCAUGAGUGAUGCUUGAGCUGUCAUGGUGCUGCUGGUGUUGUCUGCCAUCAUCCCCCUGACACAGACCACCCUGCAGACCACCUUCAUCCUGGGUGCCACACGUCACUGCUGCUACAGCUCAGAGCAACUGGAGCGCAAGCCAGGAAGGGAGAUGGUAACUUCUCACUUAAUUUGUUGUUUAUUUGAGGGCCUAAUGACAAAGACAUAAUGGAAUAAGUAUAUGUGAAUGUUUGUUUAUAUCUAGAUACAGCAUUCACAUAUCUUUUAAGUGCCACCUUCCAAAAGCAAUGUCAGCCAGAAAAAUAACUGAUGAGAAUCUAAUUACAUUUCAAGUCAAAAAGUUUUCCUUUAACCACUUUGCUCCAGAUGCUUAAAAACAUGCGUUGCUCACAUACAUGGUGUCGCGUAGGCUCGUGAGUGGUAACUUAUCUAAUUUCUAAUAAUUUAUAAUAUAAUUUUUUUUUUUUUGUGUGUGUGUUUUUUUAUGUAGGAAGGACACUGGCCAAGGGCAACAAAAAUCACAAACAGGAAGUUUAUGCAAGUUUUUAUCCUUAUAUAAAAUGUUGCUAGUGUUAACAUAUAAAAUGUUGUAUUGCAUCAAACCUCCAUACAUUACUGUCUCUAUCCAGUAUGAGACCGGUGUUUAGGAAGCACAAGCAUGUGCUGAAUAACAAGAAGCCGGCAUUGGUGAAGGUGACAACAUUUCAUCUAUUUAUACAUACUUUUUAUUAUUAAAGCUUAUCUUAUAAUUAUUUCUGGAGAGAUUGACUAAUUUUUGUAGUAUUUAUGACUUAGAACUAUGAUAAAGCUAUGAAUUGAUAUAAUUCCUGAUUUGUUUUAUCUUUUCAUUAUCCUUCCUUAUGAUAAAGCUAUGAAUUGAUAUAAUUCCUGAUUUGUUUUAUCUUUUCAUUAUCCUUCCUUUGUUAAUUGAGCAUUUUAUAUUACUUAGCUUAAAAAUGCAAGAACUGUUCAGAAGUAUCCAACCUUGGGCUAAGGGCCAAAAUUAUGGUAUCAUUCAAAAUGUCCUUCAAAGAAAGCCCUUUGUAAUCCAACACACUUAGCCCAUUAAUCCUUCCAUUUCUCAUCAAUUUGUUCAACAUUCAUAUUUUUCCCUUAUAGGGUUGAACAAUUUUCAUGGGUUCAGAGCAAAAGGCUUCCUCAUUCCUCCCCAAGGUAUUCUCGGAUGGUAAGCAGGUUUGACUCUGGAGCAAACCUGACCAAGGGCUACUGCCCAAGGCUACAGAGGUUCCUCUCCCUGAGGCUGAAUGCACCAUGUGAGAUGGUUCUGUUAUGUGGAUGAAUGUCAUGGUGGACAGCAGUGCCACCACAUUCCUACAAUCAUCCAUCACUCCACUGCUCAAACGCUUCUGCAACCAAUGAUAGGUAUGCUGCCACAUUCUGCAUGGUCUCCUUGGCUCUCAGAUAAGGAUACUGUCAACAGGUUUGGGAUUGCCAAAAAAUCAUAAGGAGCUAUGUCUGAAAAGUCCAGAGAGAGAGAGAGAGAGAGAGAGAGAGAAAGAAUGAGCAAGAGAAAGAGUAGGAUGAAGCAAAGGAAGAGUCAAGAGGGAGGAAGAGAGAGUAGGACAAGAAAAAACAGAACAAAUAAAUCCCCUACACGUCUUGUCUCCAUUCACACAAGCCAUGAAAAGCUUGUCCAUCCCUGAGUGCUCAGAAGCAGUGCUCCACUGAUGAUGUGGAAACUUGAGACACCCAAUCAUUUAAUGGGCUUUAGUAGGUUUUGUCACCAGUCUUCUGUGUGUCACUGACUACAUUUUGAAAUUUUUAUCUGUUCUAUUUAAUUUUGUGUGCAUGUACACAAUGUUUAUGGUCAAUAAACUAUUUAUAAAACUAUUUAUCUGUGUGAGUAAGA